rnacentral:rRNA from 1 species
AACGCGAAGAACCUUACCUGGGCUCGAACGGCUUAAGAUCAGCUGUAGAAAUAUGGCCUUCCCGCAAGGGACUUGAGUCGAGGUGCUGCAUGGCUGUCGUCAGCUCGUGUCGUGAGAUGUUGGGUUAAGUCCCGCAACGAGCGCAACCCUUGUCCUGUGUUGCCACUCCGCAAGGAAGCACUCUCAGGAGACCGCCAGCGAUAAGCUGGAGGAAGGUGGGGAUGAUGUCAAGUCAUCAUGGCCUUUAUGUCCAGGGCUACACACGUGCUACAAUGGACGGUACAAAGCGCUGCAAACCCGUGAGGGGGAGCCAAUCGCAAAAAACCGUUCUCAGUUCGGAUCGCAGGCUGCAACUCGCCUGCGUGAAGCUGGAAUCGCUAGUAAUGCCGUAUCAGAAUGAUGGCGUGAAUACGUUCCCGGGCCUUGUACACACCGCUAGUC